rnacentral:rRNA from 1 species
GACGAACGCUGGCGGCGUGCCUAAUACAUGCAAGUAGGACGCAGUUGCGAACGGGUGAGUAACGCGUAGGUAACUGCCUAUUAGAGUGGGAUAACUAUUGGAAACGAUAGCUAAUACCGCAUACUAGUAGAUGGACCUGCGUUGUAUUAGCUAGUAGGUAGGGUAAUGGCCUACAUAGGCAACGAUACAUAGCCGAACUGAGGGGGGGAGCGGGCAGACUGGGACUGAGACACGGCCCAGACUCCUGCGGGAGGCAGCAGUAGGUAAACUUCGGACAGGGGGGGAACCCUGACCGAGCAACGGCGCGUGAGUGAAGAAGGUUUUCGGAUCGUAAAGCUCUGUUGUUAAGGAAGCGGUACUUAACCAGAAAGGGACGGCUAACUACGUGCCAGCAGCCGCGGUAAUUC